UACAGGGGGUGCAAACGUUGCUCGGAAUCAUUGGGCGUAAAGCGCACGUAGGCGGUUCGUUAUGUCGGAUGUGAAAGCCCUUGGCUUAACCGAGGAAGUGCAUCCGAAACUGGCGAGCUAGAGUACGAAAGAGGAUCGCGGAAUUCCCGGUGUAGAGGUGAAAUUCGUGGAUAUCGGGAGGAACACCGGUGGCGAAGGCGGCGAUCUGGGUCGAUACUGACGCUGAGGUGCGAAAGCGUGGGGAGCAAACAGG
rnacentral:rRNA from 1 species